rnacentral:rRNA from 1 species
CCUACGGGGGGCUGCAGUGGGGAAUAUUGGACAAUGGGGGCAACCCUGAUCCAGCCAUGCCGCGUGUGUGAAGAAGGCCCUCGGGUUGUAAAGCACUUUCAGUGAGGAAGAACGCCUGGUGGUUAAUACCCAUCAGGAAAGACAUCACUCACAGAAGAAGCACCGGCUAACUCCGUGCCAGCAGCCGCGGUAAUACGGAGGGUGCGAGCGUUAAUCGGAAUUACUGGGCGUAAAGCGCGCGUAGGUGGCUUGAUAAGCCGGUUGUGAAAGCCCCGGGCUCAACCUGGGAACGGCAUCCGGAACUGUCAAGCUAGAGUGCAGGAGAGGAAGGUAGAAUUCCCGGUGUAGCGGUGAAAUGCGUAGAGAUCGGGAGGAAUACCAGUGGCGAAGGCGGCCUUCUGGACUUACACUGACACUGAGGUGCGAAAGCGUGGGUAGCAAACAGGAUUAGAUACCCUAGUAGUC